rnacentral:rRNA from 1 species
GGCGAACGCUGGCGGCAUGCCUAACACAUGCAAGUCGAACGAGACCUUCGGGUCUAGUGGCGCACGGGUGCGUAACGCGUGGGAAUCUGCCCUUGGGUUCGGAAUAACAGUUAGAAAUGACUGCUAAUACCGGAUGAUGACUUCGGUCCAAAGAUUUAUCGCCCAGGGAUGAGCCCGCGUAGGAUUAGCUUGUUGGUGAGGUAAAAGCUCACCAAGGCGACGAUCCUUAGCUGGUCUGAGAGGAUGAUCAGCCACACUGGGACUGAGACACGGCCCAGACUCCUACGGGAGGCAGCAGUGGGGAAUAUUGGACAAUGGGCGAAAGCCUGAUCCAGCAAUGCCGCGUGAGUGAUGAAGGCCCUAGGGUUGUAAAGCUCUUUUACCCGGGAUGAUAAUGACAGUACCGGGAGAAUAAGCCCCGGCUAACUCCGUGCCAGCCGCCGCAGUAA